rnacentral:rRNA from 1 species
AGUGAACGCUGGCGGUAGGCCUAACACAUGCAAGUCGAACAGCAGCACAGUAAGAGCUUGCUCUUACGGGUGGCGAGUGGCGGACGGGUGUGGAAUACAUCGGAAUCUACUUUUUCGUGGGGGAUAACGUAGGGAAACUUACGCUAAUACCGCAUACGACCUACGGGUGAAAGCAGGGGAUCUUCGGACCUUGCGCGAUUGAAUGAGCCGAUGUCGGAUUAGCUAGUUGGCGGGGUAAAGGCCCACCAAGGCGACGAUCCGUAGCUGGUCUGAGAGGAUGAUCAGCCACACUGGAACUGAGACACGGUCCAGACUCCUACGGGAGGCAGCAGUGGGGAAUAUUGGACAAUGGGCGCAAGCCUGAUCCAGCCAUACCGCGUGGGUGAAGAAGGCCUUCGGGUUGUAAAGCCCUUUUGUUGGGAAAGAAAAGCAGCAGGUUAAUACCCCGCUGUUCUGACGGUACCCAAAGAAUAAGCACCGGCUAACUUCGUG